AAUCAACGCUGGCGGCGUGCCUCAGACAUGCAAGUCGAACGAUUAAAGCUCUCUUCGGAGAGUGUAUAGAGUGGCGCACGGGUGAGUAACACGUAAGUAAUCUACCUUUGAGUGGGGAAUAACCCGGGGAAACCCGAGCUAAUACCGCAUAAUGCAGCGGCAUCGCAAGAUGACAGUUGUUAAAGGAGCAAUCCGCUUAAAGAGGAGCUUGCGGCAGAUUAGCUAGUUGGUAAGGUAAUGGCUUACCAAGGCUACGAUCUGUAUCCGGUCUAAGAGGACGGUCGGACACACUGACACUGAAUAACGGGUCAGACUCCUACGGGAGGCAGCAGUCGGGAAUUUUGGGCAAUGGGCGAAAGCCUGACCCAGCAACGCCGCGUGAAGGAUGAAGUAUUCGGUAUGUAAACUUCGAAAGAAUAGAAGAAUAAAUGACGGUACUAUUUACAAGGUCCGGCUAACUACGUGCCAG
rnacentral:rRNA from 1 species